rnacentral:SRP_RNA from 1 species
CCAUGCUUGCCGGGGAGUUAGCGGUGCCCUGUUGCCUGCAAUCCGCUACAGCAGGGGUCAAAUGCCGGCAGAGGUCUUUUGUCUGUGUGGCUGCGUCCGGGCAAGGCUGUUGAGAAAUGGGUCUUGUGCGAUUGCCGCCCGUGAACCAUGUCAGGUGAGGAAUCAAGCAGCAUUAAGCGGAAACGGCAAUGUGCCGCAAGGCAGCCUGUUUUGAGGCCGAACCCGGACUACCGCGCGUAGGCGAAGAACAAUGCCGGACGCAUGG